rnacentral:rRNA from 1 species
CCGUUGCAAGGGGCUCCGAUGAGCUGUGGCAAGGGGUGAAAGGCCAAUCAAACCUGGAAAUUAGCUGGUUUUCUGCGAAAUUCAUUUUAGUGAAGGGCCCAGUAUGACGCUUUGCUGCCCCUCUUUACCCCCCCCGGGUAAAGAGAAGAGAUAGUUACUAGCAGGUAGGGCACUGGAUACCACGCAGAUUUGCAUAAUCAGGGGGCUGUCAUGGCCUUACUGAUGAUUUCUAACCCCCAAAUAGCUAGUAUAUGGUUACUGGGUACUCAGACUAUUCGUGAUAAGGUGAUUAGUCAAAAGGGCAACAGCCCAGAACAGGCGGGAAGGUCAAAAAGAACUACUGAGUGAACACAAGGCAGUCCUCUCCAGUGUCUCUCCACCAAGUGGGCUUGAAAGCAGCCAUCUUUUAGCGAUAGC